UCUCACACGUAAAACUAAGAAACCUUUAUUCAUAUUGAGGUGGUUUGUUUCAUAUUCUUAAAAUCCUUAAAUCAGUAUUAAUUUUAAGCAGUUAGUUCAAAAUUAGCACAACUCUUCCCUUAUUCGUAUUCCCUCCCCCCUCCUCUCCCAAUCCCCCUUCGCGCUCCCUAUCACACGCCCCACCUCUUUCGCCCCUUUCACCGUACCGCCCCCCUGUCAUAAUCGCCCUACUCGCCGACUCACCUACCCAUAUCUGCAACUCGCAGAAUCCGCCGCCAGUCACCCUUCGUGAAGUUGAGAUUUUGAAUUUUACGGUUUGCGAUUCAAAGUAAUUUCAUCACAUGCCCUGCAAUUAGCCUUUAAUUCGGGUUGCUGUUUGUAAUUGAAGAAGAUAACCAUGCUAUGCGAGCUGCUAGCGAGUCAUGCUCCCAUGUGUUUCUUUAGUUUCAAAAUGUUAGUUGUCAGGUGAUUCCUUCUCCUUAUAAGAUGCACUUUUCUUUGUUAUUAAUUAUAGUUUAUGUUGAUCUAUCAUAUACAUCUUUUUAUCCUAUUUGCUGUUAGCAGACAACUAAGGGGUUUCUUCAGUUGAAUUUCUAGAUGUAGAGAAAGACCAGACGCUGGUACAGGUUCUAUGUUCGUUCAUCACUUCUUUUUUUACUAACCUGCCUUUACAUCCGAAUAGCUAGUGCAUCAUGUUUCUUCUGAAACUUGACAUGGUUUUAUAGGCAUGUUCUUUCUUGGGUUCCCUUCUAAGAAUUUCUCUUGUAUUUCAUAAUAAAGCAUGUUAGAUUACUAAAGUAGGUAGUACUUUAAUAGCAUUUAUAAAACUUAUAAGAUGGUGAUUUUAUAAUUUGUUGUUACUUGGAUGUUGUGUGAAAAGAUGAUAUUAUGGAAUAAAGUUAGUAAAUUUUAAUUUAAAGUAGCAUUUUUUGUCCUAUUUGGUUGUAUUCUAUUUUUGAUGCAUAUAUUUUAUGCUUUUUAGUUUUUUGCAGAGCUCAUACGCACAAGCAUAAACAAGCUGGAGGAGGAGGAAUUUUGAGAUAACAUAGAUUUUUACUAGGAAGUGUAAUUGAUCUACAUCUUCUUUGGUCUUUUAAACUUUUGUGUAUAUAGUUUGAAAUUUUCUUGUUACUUGUUAGAGAACAUAUUGAUUGAAAUAUUAUAACGUAGUUGUAUUUUUGGAAUCUUCUAACAUUAUAUUGAUAUGCAUGUGAUUUUGUAGUGAA